rnacentral:rRNA from 1 species
GUGAGGAAUUUUGCGCAAUGGCCGCAAGGCUGACGCAGCAACGCCGCGUGGGUGAUGAAGGCCUUCGGGUCGUAAAGCCCUGUCAGGUGGGAAGAAAGGCCUUAAGGAGAAACGCUUGAGGUUUGACGGUACCACCAGAGGAAGCACCGGCUAACUCCGUGCCAGCAGCCGCGGUAAUACGGAGGGUGCGAGCGUUAUUCGGAAUUACUGGGCGUAAAGCGCGUGUAGGCGGGGGGACAAGUCUGAUGUGAAAGCCCUGGGCUUAACCUGGGAAGUGCAUUGGAAACUGUUUUUCUUGAGUACUGGAGAGGAAGGGGGAAUUCCCGGUGUAGAGGUGAAAUUCGUAGAGAUCGGGAGGAAUACCAGUGGCGUAGGCGCCCUUCUGGACGGUAACUGACGCUGAGACGCGAAAGCGUGGGGAGCAAACAGGAUUAGAAACCCGAGUAGUCC